CCCUUAGAUGUCCGGGGCCGCACGCGCGCUACACUGAAGGAAUCAGCGUGGCUUUCUCCCUGACCCGAAAGGGUUGGGAAACCCGUUGAAUCUCCUUCGUGAUAGGGAUUGGGGCUUGAAAUUGUUCCCCAUGAACGAGGAAUUCCCAGUAAGCGCGAGUCAUAAGCUCGCGUUGAUUACGUCCCUGCCCUUUGUACACACCGCCCGUCGCUCCUACCGAUUGAAUGGUCCGGUGAAGCGUUCGGACCGUGGCCUUUGGACGGUUCGCCGUCUGUUGGCUGCGGGAAGUUCGUUAAACCUUAUCAUUUAGAGGAAGGAGAAGUCGUAACA
rnacentral:rRNA from 1 species